rnacentral:rRNA from 1 species
GCAUAUCAAUAAGCGGAGGAAAAGAAACCAACAGGGAUUGCCCUAGUAACGGCGAGUGAAGCGGCAACAGCUCAAAUUUGAAAUCUGGCUUCGGCCCGAGUUGUAAUUUGCAGAGGAAGCUUUAGGCGCGGCACCUCCUGAGUCCCCUGGAACGGGGCGCCACAGAGGGUGAGAGCCCCGUAUAGUUGGAUGCCUAGCCUGUGUAAAGCUCCUUCGACGAGUCGAGUAGUUUGGGAAUGCUGCUCAAAAUGGGAGGUAAAUUUCUUCUAAAGCUAAAUACCGGCCAGAGACCGAUAGCGCACAAGUAGAGUGAUCGAAAGAUGAAAAGCACUUUGAAAAGAGGGUUAAAUAGCACGUGAAAUUGUUGAAAGGGAAGCGCUUGUGACCAGACUUGCGCCGGGCGGAUCAUCCGGUGUUCUCACCGGUGCACUCCGCCCGGCUCAGGCCAGCAUCGGUUCUCGCGGGGGGAUAAAGGCCCCGGGAACGUAGCUCCUCCGGGAGUGUUAUAGCCCGGGGCGUAAUGCCCUCGCGGGGACCGAGGACCGCGCAUCUGCAAGGAUG